GAACGCUGGCGGCGUGCUUAACACAUGCAAGUCGAGCGAAGCACUUUUGCGGAUUUCUUCGGAUUGAAGCAAUUGUGACUGAGCGGCGGACGGGUGAGUAACGCGUGGGUAACCUGCCUCAUACAGGGGGAUAACAGUUGGAAACGGCUGCUAAUACCGCAUAAGCGCACAGUACCGCAUGGUACCGUGUGAAAAACUCCGGUGGUAUGAGAUGGACCCGCGUCUGAUUAGCUAGUUGGUGGGGUAACGGCCUACCAAGGCGACGAUCAGUAGCCGACCUGAGAGGGUGACCGGCCACAUUGGGACUGAGACACGGCCCAAACUCCUACGGGAGGCAGCAGUGGGGAAUAUUGCACAAUGGGGGAAACCCUGAUGCAGCGACGCCGCGUGAGCGAUGAAGUAUUUCGGUAUGUAAAGCUCUAUCAGCAGGGAAGAAAAUGACGGUACCUGACUAAGAAGCCCCGGCUAACUACGUGCCAGCAGCCGCGGUAAUACGUANGGGGCAAGCGUUAUCCGGAUUUACUGGGUGUAAAGGGAGCGUAGACGGCAUGGCAAGCCAGAUGUGAAAGCCCGGGGCUCAACCCCGGGACUGCAUUUGGAACUGUCAGGCUAGAGUGUCGGAGAGGAAAGCGAAAUUCCUAGUGUAGCGGUGAAAUGCGUAGAUAUUAGGAGGAACACCAGUGGCGAAGGCGGCUUUCUGGACGAUGACUGACGUUGAGGCUCGAAAGCGUGGGG
rnacentral:rRNA from 1 species